GACAGAGGUGCCGAGCGUUAGGCGGAAUCACUGGGCGUAAAGCGCACGUAGGCGGAUUGUUAAGUCAGGGGUGAAAUCCUGGAGCUCAACUCCAGAACUGCCUUUGAUACUGGCGAUCUUGAGUCCGGGAGAGGUGAGUGGAACUGCGAGUGUAGAGGUGAAAUUCGUAGAUAUUCGCAAGAACACCAGUGGCGAAGGCGGCUCACUGGCCCGGUACUGACGCUGAGGUGCGAAAGCGUGGGGAGCAAACAGG
rnacentral:rRNA from 1 species